rnacentral:snoRNA from 2 species
GGGGUGCACUCAGAGCAGGGGACCUGAGGAAAUGACUCCUCUGUUUACAACACACCCAACAGGAAUCUGGGUUCAUUGUGACGAGGGGCACAAAACUUGAGGCCUUUCUAUGAACACAUACCCUACACGU